AUAAGCGGAGGAAAAGAAACCAACAGGGAUUGCCCUAGUAACGGCGAGUGAAGCGGCAACAGCUCAAAUUUGAAAUCUGGCCCUUGGGUCCGAAUUGUAAUUUGUAGAGGAUGAUUUUGGUGCGGUAUCUUCCGAGUUCCUUGGAACAGGACGCCUUAGAGGGUGAGAGCCCCGUACGGUUGAAUGCCUAGCCUCUGUAAAUCUCCUUCGACGAGUCGAGUAGUUUGGGAAUGCUGCUCUAAAUGGGAGGUAAAUUUCUUCUAAAGCUAAAUACUGGCCAGAGACCGAUAGCGCACAAGUAGAGUGAUCGAAAGAUGAAAAGCACUUUGAAAAGAGGGUUAAAUAGCACGUGAAAUUGUUGAAAGGGAAGGAUUUAUGACCAGACUUUUUCUGGGCGGAUCAUCCGGUGUUCUCACCGGUGCACUUUGCCCAGUUUAGGCCAGCAUCGAUUUUCGGAGAGGGAUAAAAGCUUUGGGAAUGUGGCUCCUCCGGGAGUGUUAUAGCCCAUUGUAUAAUACCUUUCUGGGGAUCGAGGUACGCGCUUCUGCAAGGAUGCUGGCGUAAUGGUUAUCAAUCACCCGUCUUGAAACACGGACCAAGGAGUCGAACAUUUGUGCAAGUGUUUGGGUGUUAAACCCUCACGCGUAAUGAAAGUGAACGGAGGUGAGAGCCCUUACGGGUGCAUCAUCGACCGAUCCUGAAGUUUUCGGAUGGAUUUGAGUAAGAGCAUAACUGUUCGGACCCGAAAGAUGGUGAACUAUGCGUGGAUAGGGUGAAGCCAGAGGAAACUCUGGUGGAGGCUCGCAGCGGUUCUGACGUGCAAAUCGAUCGUCAAAUCUGCGCAUGGGGGCGAAAGACUAAUCGAACCAUCUAGUAGCUGGGUACCGC
rnacentral:rRNA from 1 species